rnacentral:hammerhead_ribozyme from 1 species
AUCCAGCUGGGGAGUUCCAAAUGGAACGAAACGCGUAUCCUGGAU